rnacentral:lncRNA from 1 species
CCUCUGUGUCCAUGAAAACCACCUCCGCCACCCCGAUUAUAAGCUCCAGGGGCUCCUCUUCCAGCACCAGCAGACCCACGGCCCUGACCAUCAGGCAGCUUAGGAUCCCGCGUGCCUGCCACCGUUGUAGCAACUACCGCAGCAACAGGCCCUGCCGCCGCAGGUGCAGUCACCGCAGGCGAUGGCCCAGCGGACGAACCUGCCGCGGGUGCAGAGGGUGCAGCUUGCCUCGCCGCCAUAGAAACCAACGCAGGAAUACUCCUAGCUGUGCCAGAUCGUAACGGAAAACCUGGAAUCGCCUUGCUCCCUCCAGUUAAUCCCGAUCUUACCCCAGGAUCUUUAUAACCUGUUGGAGAGUCAGCCGACAAUAGACCUUCCUUGUCCACGUCGGUAACCUCCUCAAUCUCGGUAUGAGUUGUGUCAGGAAAAUCAAGUAUCUAAUGUGUUCGCGCAACGUACUGGGCCAUAUACCCGGU